rnacentral:sRNA from 1 species
GGAAUUCGGAGCGGCGCACUCCUCCUCCCAGCGCCCCUCCGAUACGAUUGGCAACACUCCUCCUCCCAGUUGCCAAUCACCUUCAAUGACGCUCGCUGGACCUCCUCCCCCAGCGGGCGUUAUUU